AGGGAAGAUAAUUGACGGUUACCUUAACGAAUAAGCAUCGGCUAACUCCGUGCCAGCAGCCGCGGUAAGACGGAGGAUGCAAGCGUUAUCCGGAAUUAUUGGGCGUAAAGCGUACGUAGGCGGUUUUAUAAGUCUGUUGUCAAAGCCCGAGGCUUAACCUUGGAAAGGCAAUGGAAACUGUAAGACUAAAGAGAGAUAGGGGCAGGAGGAAUUCCAGGUGUAGCGGUGAAAUGCGUAGAUAUCUGGAAGAACACCAGUGGCGAAAGCGUCCUGCUGGAUCUCAACUGACGCUGAAGUACGAAAGCUAGGGGAGCGAAUGGGAUUAGAUACCCCAGUAGUC
rnacentral:rRNA from 1 species